CAUCAGCCCAGCCUGCAAGGAGGCGCCACCGGACCUGCACACUCAGGAGCAGACUCAGCUAGAUUGGAAGAGAGGAUGGGAAGACAAUGGAUGACCUACCUGUGGAGAGAAACUACCCAUUCCAGAACCUCCUCUCUGCUGAAAGCUGAACACUCAAUGGGAAGACCUGUUUGCAGAGAGGAGCCAGCCACUCCAGGGUCUCCUUUCUGCUAGAAGCUGAACACUCGUUGGGACACCCUUGCUGUGGAAAGGACAUCCUUACUGUGGAAAUGAGCUACUAACUGCAGGAGCUGAGGAGCUGCACAGCAAGGUUAAAAGAGCUGUAACACAAACAGGGCUGCAACAUGCCCCUUGCUCCCCACAGGGAGAGAAGAGCUCUGGCCCUCGGAGAAGCCCAGACCUGGGAGCUCCUUGAGCCCGGGCUGUGACUCCCUCUUUGGGGCCCUGGUUGGCGUCACUGCAUUCGCCAGUGCCACUGUUGGAAGCUGCUUGUGAUGCGCCUGGUCCAGGGGGAAGCUGUUUGUUGUGUGCCUGGUCCAGCCACCUCAUGGAGAGCCUGUGCUGGCACCUGGAGCUGCCCAACCUGGGCAGCAGCUUGUGUGUGUGACUGCACAGUGGCCACGCUUGCUCACACACCCCUAGCACACCCCUCUCUGCUCCACCCGUCUCAAUCUCCCUUGGAUCCGGGAUCCAGGUUGGUAGCAAGUGCGAGUGGGCAGAAGCAGCCCAGUGGGCCCAGAGCAAAACUCAGGCAAAGGUGCCACUAGACUGGCCAGGAAAGCGACACCCCAAAGAUCCCAUAAUGCUGAUAUGUUAAUUCUAUUCUAUAAGCACCACACAGAAGUGAUAGCUUUUAUUUCUUAUUUUGUCUAGCCUGGAGACAGAGCUAAGGAUUCCUUGAACUGCAAAGUCUUCUCCAGUUCUUAGUUUAUACAAUCCAUACUCACCUUCUGCCUAACUAAACAUUGUCAUUUUUGUGCCAAAUGAAGAGUAGGACUCCUACGAUUGUCCUCAGACUCUCUUGGCUCAAUCCUCCUGCUUUAACCUUUCCUACUUCAAAAACUCCUGAAGUUUUGCUUCUCCUUCUAUAGAAUGGAAAUAUAUGUUGCAAUACUUACUGCAAAGAAAAUUAUAUAUUUUAAAAAGACUAAAGAGAUGUUGUGAGACAUCAGACAUCAUCAGACAUCAAUCAGAUGUUGUGAGAACUGAUUUCUGCAUCAGAAUAUCUCCUUGACUUUACAGCUAUCCUUUAAUCCUGGCUCAAAGUUCCAGAAGAAAGAUGAUCCAAUAUAAUACUCCUAUUUGGACUUUGAGUCAUACACAUUCCUUCUUCUGAGAAAACGUGCUUCUGCAUGAAUCCUCCCUUCAUUAUUUUCAGCUCAUCUAUUAUUGAAUCUGAGACCCCAGGUUAACUGACUGAUCACUCUCAUCAGUGGCAGAUUUUGGUGUAACAUAGGACACAUCACUCCCAAUUCAGGUCAUGUCCCAAUUAUCUUGCCUCUCAAUAUGACCUGUUCAAUGUUGUAUUUCAUUCUACUUCAUUUUAAUGUAAAAAGUCUUUUCUGGUGAAGUCAGUCUUUUAUUUUCUCAUAAAAAUUCACCCUUUGGGUUUUUCAUAGGGUAUUCCCAUAACCAAACACACUUUACACUUUCCUAGUACAUAACCCAAUACUUUCUUCUUUCCCCACAGUCCUUACAUGAAGCCUACUCAGACCGACAUCACUGUAUCAUUUUUUUGUAUUCUGAAGUCCUUCAGCACUUGAUUCCUUUAAGUUUAAUCUUGGUAUUCUAUUGGGAAUCAUAUGGAAAUGUACAAUGAUAUUUAUUGAAUGAACAGGAAACAGGGAAAGACAUUGACCAGAAAAAGUGUUUAUUCAUCAAGUCUUUAAAGAUACAAAAACACGUGUCUUCUGUGGAGCUCUGAGAACAGGACUCUAGCAAAGCACUUUUCAGCCUUGUGGUCUUCAAGCAUUUCCAAGAUCUGUGACAUUGGAAAGAAAAAAAAUUAAGACAGAUUUGGGUCUCCAUGAGCAGAGAGUAUUCUUUCCCUUAGUUCUGGGUAGCAUAGUGCCCAAGGAAACCUAAUCAGUACAGUGGGAAACCAAAUCUAUUCCAAAUCAUUACCCAUAAGCAAUCCUAUGGACUCUCUGAGGUUUGACAGAGUCAGCGGCCCUCUCCAAUAAAUGUGUUUUUCUAUAAUAA
rnacentral:antisense_RNA from 1 species